AAAGUAAUUUUGCAUUUUUAAAUAAUUUGGUUGUAUUUUUAUGUUGUUAUUGUGAUAAGCAUUAUAAUCAAGAAUGAGGUCAUGUGUAUAUUGCAAGAGACGCUACAAAAAAGACAGUCACAUAUCAUUUCACAGACUUCCAAAAGGUUUGGAGGAAAAAAAAGUUUGGCUUCAAAACAUGAAAACCCACAACUGGACUCCUAAAACAUAUAAUUAUCUAUGUUCAUUACAUUUCAAUGACGAAUGUUUCGUCAAACAUUUCAAUAGAACAGCAUUGAAACCAGGUAGCAUUCCGACAAUAUUUGAAGGAACAUCUACCUUUGCAUCAUCGUCUCAUCCGUCAAUGUCUACAUCUUCGCCUCGUUCGUCAACGUCUACAUCUUCGCCUCGUCCGU